rnacentral:tRNA from 1 species
GCGGAAGUAGCCAAGAGGUCAACGGCGACAGACUCAAGAUCUGUUCCUCAGUGGUUCGCCGGUUCGAAUCCGGUCUUCCGCA